AGAUUAAACGCUGGCGGCAUGCCUAACACAUGCAAGUCGAACGGGAGUAGCAAUACUCUAGUGGCGGACGGGUGAGGAAUACGUAGGAAUUUGCCCUUAAGUGGGGGAUAACCCGGGGAAACCCGGAUUAAUACCGCAUGACCUCGAAAGAGCAAAGUGGGGGAUCGCAAGACCUCACGCUUUUGGAGAAGCCUACGUCGGAUUAGCUAGUUGGUGAGGUAAUGGCUCACCAAGGCGACGAUCCGUAACUGGUCUGAGAGGAUGAUCAGUCACACCGGAACUGAGACACGGUCCGGACUCCUACGGGAGGCAGCAGUGGGAAUAGUGGACAAUGGGCGCAAGCCUGAUCCAGCAAUGCCGCGUGUGUGAAGAAGGCCUUCGGGUUGUAAAGCGUAACGUUUAAGGUUAGGGAAAGUAAAAAACGUCGACUACGUAACACAGUAGAGUCUUGACGGUACCGAACAGAAUAAGCACCGGACUAACUCUGUCGCCAGCAGUCGAC
rnacentral:rRNA from 1 species